CCAUCCCAUCCCCUUCCCUCCCGUCUCUAUUUCCCUACCGCGCCCCGCCCCGCCCCGCCCCUCCCACCACUGCGAUCUGUUUCGCCGGACCACCCCGUCCCGUUCCCCCACCGCGAUCUGCCCCCUCCCAUCUCCACACCGGUUCUUUCUCCCCCAAAAUUCCCAAAUCUUAAUUUCACAGACUCUCCCUCCCCCGUGUCGAUUCGCCGUCCUAAGUCAGCGCCGCCGCCCCUUCUCCUUUCCCCGUUUCAACACCAGAGUCUCCCUCCCUCGCUUCAAUUCGCCGCAGUUCGGCCCCAAGUCAGUGUCGCCGCCCCUUCCUCCCGUUUCAACACCAGACUCUCUCUUCCCGCAACAGCCCUACCCCCAAGUCGGCGCUGCCGCCAAUGGGUGCCUUGCGUCUGGCACCACCGCCGUCAAUCCGCCGGACAUUACUUGCUUUAAUGUUAUUAAGGUUAAACUUGUUGGAAAUAUGGUUUUAUGCCAUAUCUGAAAAUUAUUAUUUAAUUAAAUAUUUAUUAUUUAAUUAAAAUAAUUAUUGGAUGUUAAUCUACACCUCGAGUAGAUCAACGUGAUAUACUUGAAGUCUCAAAACCGAUUUCCGGUGAGUGAGAUAUUGCAUGUCAAAGUUUGGAAGUUGAAGAGGGAAAAUCAGUUUCAACUUCUGCGUUCAACGAUUGCGGCCACCUACCGCAGCCGCCGGAGUUGACUGCCGUCCGUUCACACCGGCAGUUCACACCUUACGUUCACACCUUCCGUUCACACUAGGUUUAACACCUAUAAAUAUGGGUGUGUUGUGAGCUUCAGAAUAAACGAAUUCACUCACAACUCAUAACUCACAACAUAUUCUGCAUUCCACCUCAACCUCUAGCUCAGUUCUUGAUCCUUAUUCAGUUCGCCGGAGCUCGUCGGAUUGUGGUGCUACAUCCGACGAGACGAAGUCGUUUUACCUUUGGGGAAGAUACGCCUAAACCGAAGAGCACUACCGGGGCGAUAAUCUUCUUGCGGGAAGAGAUUCAUCUCGACUCGACUUAUUUUAUACGUAUAAUUUAUUUAUACUGUAUAUUUCAGUUGUAUAAAAUUAUUUGAGUUGUAAUUUCUCAAAUUAUUUUCUUUGUAAUAUUUUCAAUUAUUUUGAGUUGUAAUAUCUCAAAAUAUUUAUUGUAAUAUCUCGAUCGUGUACCCGGUUCUAACAAAACUUACUUUAAUUUCACAUUCAUGUGGUUGUUUAUGCAGACUCUGAGCGACGUAAUAUGAUAUUUUGGAAAUAGUUGUUGCUCGCUGCCUAUGGCUCAUGACCAGCUAUUGUUGAGGUGAGCUUGCAGUAGCUUUGGAGUUAUUCGUCUUUCUGCAGUAUCGAUGGGUUGGGCUUAAUUUUCUUAUUCCAAAACAUAUUGUCGUUUUGCAUCAAAAUAAAUUGAUAACUCAGCUGGGUUCAGCUUAAUAUAGCUCAAAACUUUCUUCUUUUGCUGUGUUUAGGGAGCAGAGCAAGCCUUGCAGGAAAGAAGGUCCGAGUCUUGGUGUUUUGAGCUCGAUUAUUUGGUACUUAGGUUUUGUGUUCUAGCGAGGAAGAGAAUGUAUGCGAAUAGUAGUAGAUCGUCUUGUCAUGUGCAUAGUUAGACUAAUCUGGUCCGAAAUGGUUGUGUGUGCGUGUAUGAUUUUGUUUUUUGCAAGUGUUUCUAAUGUAGAAUGCAUAGUGUAUGCUGAUUUUGUUUUUUGGAAGUAAAUGGUUAGUAAUGUAGAAUGCAGAAUUUAUGUAUGCUGAUUCUGUUAUCAUUUUUAUUUUCUGUUUCAAGUUAAAGAUAGCAUCUACAUGGAUUUUUCUUGCACUAACAACUUCUUUUUUAUUUGCAUUUUUUUUCCUAAUUCAAUUGGUAGGGGCGCUGGUGCUGUACCGAGUCAGGAGAAGGGGGGAUUCCUUGGUGUGGUGUGUGUGUUGUUGGCUAAGUAGUCGAAUCAGGGGCAGAGGGCGGAGAUGGUGGCAGCGUAUGGCUGCUGCUAUCGGCCAGAGUGAGCAGAGGAUAGAGGGAGAAGAAGGUAAGAGGAAGAAAGAGAUGUGUGGUUCCAGCAUUUUAGGUUUAAGGAUUUCAAAGGAUUUUGUAUAUUUUACUUUAGAAUAAUACUGGAAUAAUAUGGCCUUAUAUAUGGUGCAUAUUGUUCCAUAUUUCAUAUGAGGAUUUGAUUCCUCCUUAUUUCACUUUUUAUUUUCUCCAAGUAGGCGCGUCCUGUUGUGUUAAUGAAUGAGAUUAAGAGCCCCUGUAACUCAAUUUUGUAAUAUUGUUUGUGAGAGGAGAGAGAUGCAAUAUGAAUCUCCAACUGGGUGUCUAACACUUUGAUCAGUUAGUUAUAUGUGUUGUGCAUAUCUUAACCUAUGUGGCAUGUGGUUGUUGGAUA
rnacentral:lncRNA from 1 species